rnacentral:lncRNA from 1 species
UACAAGAUUCCCAGGAACAGACUACUCGCGCAACUACCCUAUCUGGGACACCAAAUAGGUAAACACACUGCCGUCGCCAGACCUGAACAUACUUUGUAUUUACAUUUAAAAACAUGACAACAAUACAACUUCUGUAUCAUUAGCGUGUAUACUCCAUGCCUAUAGCUAUAUCUGAUUUAGCAAACAAGUUGCCCACUGUACAUACAACACUAUGUGUCCAAUGUUUAUUGAUUGUAUCAAUAUCCUUAUCUAAACAGGCGCUGAUCAAGAUAGCCAUUUCAUGGCCAACACUCGCAGACUUGCCGCACACCGACGAUCCUACGCAUGCAUACUCUACUAAAUGGCUGGAACUAUUACGUAGUACUAUUUGUGGCCUUAAUAAAGGAUGCUUCAUGUACACCAAACAUAUUUCCAGGCCUGUUGUGUGUAUAGUUAUCAGGCCAUGCUGCUUUGUACCCUUAGUUUGUACCCCUAACUGAUGCUACUUUCUAUCCUUAGUGUGUACCCCUAAAUGAACAUAGUAUAUGAUGACGUAACAAAUCGGUUCCUAUGCGUGCUGCCUAUAAAUUUUACAGCCUAUACUGUCAUGCCUCUAUGAGUACCUAUCUAUAAAUGUAGACAUACGACACCACGAUUAUGUAGUAUGCCCAACCAAACUUACUCAAUUACAACUAUCUAUAGUUCACACAUGUCACCCUCUAGAUGUCGUCUCUAUUUAUCAAUUUAAUAUGUACAAGAACACCCAUUAAAUAAGCUUGGAUAGUCCUUUUUAAUACACCUAAAAGACAAGCGCAUGGUGUGUCCCCAUUACUCUGAAAAAAUUGCUCCAAAAAUAAAAAAAAUUCCCUGCACUUUGAAUAGGAUUCAAUAAGGCCCAUAACAAAAUGUUGGCCCACCACAGGAUACAAACUACGAAGACGGCCCAAAUCAACUAGCCACCCAAAAAACAUCCAUGGAACCCUAGGUGCGUCUUUCUUCCUAUAUCUCUGUCUCUCUCUAUCCAUCUUUUCCUCUCUCUUGCACUAAUUUAGUUUUGAAGUUUUAUUACAUUAUUUUACAUAACAAAAAGGCUGC